ACUGAUGAUGAAGAUUACAUGUAUGCACCACCUACUGAGAAUGCUUGACAUUUAGUCAACUUUUGUAUUGUGGGUUUUUUUUCUUUUGGGUACAGGCUGUUUCCAGAUCUCCUGGGGCCAACUGUCAUUAGCUACCCUGGUAUAAAAGAGCCUGACACAUAAUUUUCUUGCUUUAAUCACAAAAGAAGCUACGUGAGCAGUUUACGGGUGAAAGAGUAGCACACCAAAUCUUUUGACAGAAAUUUGGAUGAUACAAGGGAGUGACAGCAGACGUGACAGAAUGAAAGCUAGAACUUUCGUGGUUUGUGCCUGUGCAAUCUUCAUGGUUUUUCUUGUAGUUGAAACCUGGUGUGCUCCAAAGAGUAAAGCUGCAGUGAGAAACUGGGGCCCACAAUCGAUGCUGUACCUCAAAGGACGCUAUGGCAGAAGAUAUGCCUCUGACAAUGAAGAACAACAGUAUUACAAGCUUAAUCUGGACCACUUCAGCUAUUUGAGUUCAACACCAAUGAAAUUUCUGAACAUCAGAAGAAGAUUCACAGCCCCAAACAUGGCUAUUAAAUACCUGGAAUAAAACAAAGCUUUCCUUUACUUGCUGCAAACACCUCCUCAUGCUGAAAAACAAUAAAUUAAAAAAAAUUAAAAAUAACA
rnacentral:lncRNA from 1 species